rnacentral:rRNA from 1 species
CCUACGGGUGGCAGCAGUAGGGAAUUUUCGGCAAUGGGCGGAACCCUGAUCCAGCAACGCCGCGUGAACGAAGAAGUCCUUCGGUAUGUAAAGCUCUUUUAUCGGAGAAGAAAGGUAAAUUUGACGUUACGCAAUGAAUAAGCUCCGGCUAAAUACGGGCCACCAGCUCCGGUCAUACGUAGGGAGGGAGUGUUAUGCGGAAUUAUUGCGCGGAAAGGGUUUGGUGAUGGUUGAUAUAAUUCUAUGGUAAAAAGACUAGGUUAAACCUAGUAGGGCAAAAGAGACUGAUGAACUAGAGUUCGGCAGAGGGAAGUGGAAAUACAUGUGUAGCAGUAAAAGGCGUAAAUAUAUGUAAGAACACCGGUGGCGAAGGCGG